rnacentral:rRNA from 1 species
GGAAGGGGCAAGCGUUGUUCGGAAUCAUUGGGCGUAAAGGGCGCGUAGGUGGUCCUAUGUGUCUACUGUGAAAGCACACGGCUCAACCGUGUCGGGUCGGUAGAAACUGUAGGACUUGAGGCUGGGAGGGGCUGGUGGAAUUCCCUGUGUAGCGGUGAAAUGCGUAGAGAUGGGGGAGAACACUCGUGGCGAAGGCGGCCAGCUGGACCAGUCCUGACACUGAGGCGCGACAGCAUGGGGAGCAAACAGGAUUAGAUACCCUGGUAGUCCAUGCCGUAAACGAUGGGCACUAGGUGCCGGCGGUAUUAAUCCCGUCGGUGCCGGCGCUAACGCAGUAAGUGCCCCGCCUGGGGAGUACGGUCGCAAGGCUGAA